rnacentral:rRNA from 1 species
GACGAACGCUGGCGGCGUGCCUAAUACAUGCAAGUAGAACGCUGAAGAGAGGAGCUUGCUCUUCUUGGAUGAGUUGCGAACGGGUGAGUAACGCGUAGGUAACCUGCCUUGUAGCGGGGGAUAACUAUUGGAAACGAUAGCUAAUACCGCAUAACAAUGGAUGACACAUGUCAUUUAUUUGAAAGGGGCAAUUGCUCCACUACAAGAUGGACCUGCGUUGUAUUAGCUAGUAGGUGCGGUAAUGGCUCACCUAGGCGACGAUACAUAGCCGACCUGAGAGGGGGAGCGGCAACGCUGGGACGGGGACACGGCCCAGACGACUAGGGGUGGGAGCAGGAGGGAAUCCUCAGGAAUGGGGGCAACAGUGAACAAGCGACGCCGCGGGAGUGAAGAAGGUAGCCGGGUCGUAAAAGUCUGGUGUAAGUUAGGAACGGGUGUGAGAGUUGAAAGUGCAGACUGUGACGGUAGCGGACCAGAAAGCGCCGGCUAACUACGUG